AUUGAACGCUGGCGGCAUGCUUUACACAUGCAAGUCGAACGGCAGCGCGGGCUUCGGCCUGGCGGCGAGUGGCGAACGGGUGAGUAAUACAUCGGAACGUGCCCAGUAGUGGGGGAUAGCUCGGCGAAAGCCGGAUUAAUACCGCAUACGACCUGAGGGUGAAAGCGGGGGAUCUUCGGACCUCGCGCUAUUGGAGCGGCCGAUGGCAGAUUAGCUAGUUGGUGGGGUAAAGGCCUACCAAGGCGACGAUCUGUAGCAGGUCUGAGAGGACGACCAGCCACACUGGGACUGAGACACGGCCCAGACUCCUACGGGAGGCAGCAGUGGGGAAUUUUGGACAAUGGGCGAAAGCCUGAUCCAGCAAUGCCGCGUGUGUGAUGAAGGCCUUCGGGUUGUAAAGCACUUUUGGCGGGAACGAAAAGGACUGUGCCAAUACCACGGUUCGAUGACGGUACCCGCAGAAUAAGCACCGGCUAACUACGUG
rnacentral:rRNA from 1 species